rnacentral:rRNA from 1 species
AUUGAACGCUGGCGGAAUGCUUUACACAUGCAAGUCGAACGGCAGCACGGGGCAACCUGGUGGCGAGUGGCGAACGGGUGAGUAAUACAUCGGAACGUGCCCAAUCGUGGGGGGAUAACGUAGCGAAAGUUACGCUAAUACCGCAUACGAUCUACGGAUGAAAGCGGGGGAUCGCAAGACCUCGCGCGAAUGGAGCGGCCGAUGUCAGAUUAGGUAGUUGGUGGGGUAAAGGCUCACCAAGCCAACGAUCUGUAGCUGGUCUGAGGGGACGACCAGCCACACUGGAACUGAGACACGGUCCAGACUCCUACGGGAGGCAGCAGUGGGGAAUUUUGGACAAUGGGCGCAAGCCUGAUCCAGCAAUGCCGCGUGCAGGAUGAAGGCCUUCGGGUUGUAACGU